rnacentral:rRNA from 1 species
UACGUAGGGUGCGAGCGUUGUCCGGAAUUAUUGGGCGUAAAGGGCUCGUAGGCGGUGUGUCACGUCGUUCGUGAAAACCUGCAGCUUAACUGUGGGCGUGCGGUCGAUACGGGCAUCACUGGAGUUCGGCAGGGGAGACUGGAAUUCCUGGUGUAGCGGUGAAAUGCGUAGAUAUCAGGAGGAACACCGGUGGUGUAGACGGCUUUCUGGACCGUAACUGACGCUGAGACACGAAAGCGUGGGUAGCAAACAGG